GAUGAACGCUGGCGGCGUGCUUAACACAUGCAAGUCGAACGGAAAGGCCGAAGCUUGCUUCGGUACUCGAGUGGCGAACGGGUGAGUAACACGUGGGUGAUCUGCCCUGUACUUUGGGAUAAGCUUAGGAAACUGGGCCUAAUCCCGGAUAUCAUGCUACCUAGGGUGGGGUUCUGGAAAUCUUUUGCGGUAUGGGAUGAGAUCGGGGGGUAUCAGCUUGUUGGUGGGGUCAUGGCCUACCCAGGCGUAGACGGGGAGCCGGCCCGAGGGGGUGUAGGGACAGAUUGGGAUUGAGAGGCGGCCCAGAGUGGGAAAUAUGGGAGCAUGGGGGAAAAUUUGACAAUGGGCGAAAGCCUGAGGCAGGGAGGCCGCGUGGGUGAUGAGGGCCUUUGGGUGGUAAGCACCGGUGGCAGUCGAUAAAGCGCUGUGCUGACGGUAGGUAGAGAAGAAGCACCGGCUAACUACGUG
rnacentral:rRNA from 1 species